UACGUAGGGUGCGAGCGUUGUCCGGAUUUAUUGGGCGUAAAGAGCUCGUAGGCGGUUUGUCGCGUCGGCCGUGAAAUCUCCACGCUUAACGUGGAGCGUGCGGUCGAUACGGGCAGACUUGAGUUCGGUAGGGGAGACUGGAAUUCCUGGUGUAGCGGUGAAAUGCGCAGAUAUCAGGAAGAACACCCGUGGCGAAAGCGGCUCUCUGGAACGGUACUGACGCUGAGACGCGAAAGCGUGGGGAGCGAACAGG
rnacentral:rRNA from 1 species